rnacentral:rRNA from 1 species
AGAGUUUGAUCCUGGCUCAGGAUGAACGCUGGCGGCGUGCCUAACACAUGCAAGUCGAACGGAGUUCUUAAGGAAUGCGACUUCGGUCAAAUGACUUUUGAACUUAGUGGCGGACGGGUGAGUAACGCGUGAGCAACCUGCCUUUCAGAGGGGGAUAACAUUUGGAAACAGAUGCUAAUACCGCAUAAGAUUACAGUACCGCAUGAUACAGUGAUCAAAGGAGCAAUCCGCUGAAAGAUGGGCUCGCGUCCGAUUAGAUAGUUGGUGAGGUAACGGCUCACCAAGUCGACGAUCGGUAGCCGGACUGAGAGGUUGAACGGCCACAUUGGGACUGAGACACGGCCCAGACUCCUACGGGAGGCAGCAGUGGGGAAUAUUGCACAAUGGGCGAAAGCCUGAUGCAGCAACGCCGCGUGAGGGAAGACGGUUUUCGGAUUGUAAACCUCUGUUUUCGGUGACGAACAAAUGACGGUAACCGAGUAGGAAGCCACGGCUAACUACGUGCCAGCAGCCGCGGUAAUACGUAGGUGGCAAGCGUUAUCCGGAAUUACUGGGUGUAAAGGGAGCGCAGGCGGGAUAGCAAGUCAGCUGUGAAAACUAUGGGCUCAACCCAUAAACUGCAGUUGAAACUGUUAUUCUUGAGUGGAGUAGAGGCAAGCGGAAUUCCGAGUGUAGCGGUGAAAUGCGUAGAUAUUCGGAGGAACACCAGUGGCGAAGGCGGCUUGCUGGGCUCUAACUGACGCUGAGGCUCGAAAGUGUGGGGAGCAAACAGGAUUAGAUACCCUGGUAGUCCACACUGUAAACGAUGAUUG